rnacentral:rRNA from 1 species
GAUGAACGCUGGCGGCGUGCCUAAUACAUGCAAGUCGAGCGAACGGACGAGAAGCUUGCUUCUUUGAUGUUAGCGGCGGACGGGUGAGUAACACGUGGAUAACCUACCUAUAAGACUGGGAUAACUUCGGGAAACCGGAGCUAAUCCCGGAUAAUAUUUUGAACCGCAUGGUUCAAAAGUGAAAGACGGUCUUGCUGUCACUUAUAGAUGGAUCCGCGCUGCAUUAGCUAGUUGGUAAGGUAACGGCUUACCAAGGCAACGCUGCAUAGCCGACCUGAGAGGGUGGUCGGACGCACGGGAGCUGGGACACGGACCUGACUCCUACGGGAGGCAGCAGUAGGGUAUCUUACGCAAUGGGCGAGAACCUGACGGAGCAACGGCGCGUGAGUGAUAAAGGUCUUCGGAUCGUAAAACACUGUUAUUAGGGAAGAACAUAUGUGUAAGUAACUGUGCACAGCGUGACGGUACCUAAUCAGAAAGCCACGGCUAACUACGUG